GACGAACGCUGGCGGCGUGCUUAACACAUGCAAGUCGAACGGAAAGGCCCUGCUUUUGUGGUGUGCUCGAGUGGCGAACGGGUGAGUAACACGUGAGUAACCUGCUCUUGACUUUGGGAUAACUUCAGGAAACUGGGGCUAAUACCGGAUAGGAGCUCCUGCUGCAUGGUGGGGGUUGGAACGUUUCGGCGGUUGGGGAUGGACUCGCGGCUUAUCAGCUUGUUGGUGGGGUAGUGGCUUACCAAGGGUUUGACGGGUAGCCGGCCUGAGAGGGUGACCGGCGACAUUGGGACUGAGAUACGGCCCAGACUCGUACGGGAGGCAGCAGUGGGGAAUAUUGCACAAUGGGCGGAAGCCUGAGGCAGAGACGCCGCGUGCGGGAUGACGGCCUUCGGGGUGUAAACCGCUUUCGCCUGUGACGAAGCGUGAGUGACGGUAAUGGGUAAAGAAGCACCGGCUAACUACGUG
rnacentral:rRNA from 1 species